rnacentral:rRNA from 1 species
AUCAUGGCUCAGGAUGAACGCUAGCUACAGGCUUAACACAUGCAAGUCGAGGGGCAUCAGUUUGGUUUGCUUGCAAACCAAAGCUGGCGACCGGCGCACGGGUGAGUAACACGUAUCCAACCUGCCUCAUACUCGGGGAUAGCCUUUCGAAAGAAAGAUUAAUAUCCGAUAGCAUAUAUUUCCCGCAUGGGUUUUAUAUUAAGAAUAAGUU